CCUACGGGUGGCAGCAGUAGGGAAUAUUGGUCAAUGGGGGAAACUCUGACGCAGCAACGCCGCGUGAAGGAUGAAGGUUUUCGGAUUGUAAAAUUCUUUUGUUAUAGAAGAUAAUGACCGUAUGUAACGAAUAAUCACCUGCCAACUCCGUGCCAGCAACCGCCGUAAUACUGAGGGCGCACGGCUUACUCGGAAUAACUGGGCGUAACGAGCGCGGAGUCGGGUUAGCAAGUCCGAUGUGAAAUCCUUUGGCUCAACCAUAGAACUGCAUUUGAAACUGGUACGCUAGAGUUUGGGAGAGGUAGGUGGAAUUCAUGGUGUAGGGGUAAAAUGCGUAGAGAUAAAGAGGAAUACCAAUUGCGAAGGCGACCGGCUAGAACAUAACUGACGCUGAGGCGCGAAAGCGUGGGGAGCAAACAGGAUUAGAUACCCGGGUAGUC
rnacentral:rRNA from 1 species